AUACGGAGGGUGCAAGCGUUAAUCGGAAUUACUGGGCGUAAAGCGCACGCAGGCGGUUUGUUAAGUCAGAUGUGAAAUCCCCGGGCUCAACCUGGGAACUGCAUCUGAUACUGGCAAGCUUGAGUCUCGUAGAGGGGGGUAGAAUUCCAGGUGUAGCGGUGAAAUGCGUAGAGAUCUGGAGGAAUACCGGUGGCGAAGGCGGCCCCCUGGACGAAGACUGACGCUCAGGUGCGAAAGCGUGGGGAGCAAACAGGAUUAGAUACCCUGGUAGUCCACGUCGUAAACGAUGUCGACUUGGAGGUUGUGCCCUUGAGGCGUGGCUUCCGGAGCUAACGCGUUAAGUCGACCGCCUGGGGAGUACGGCCGCAAGGUUAAAACUCAAAUGAAUUGACGGGG
rnacentral:rRNA from 1 species